AAACGCACCUCCGUUUCCUUGCAGAGUUUCGGUGAGUUGGUCCAAAAACCUUGCCUCGUAGAUCUGACAGUAGAGGAGGGAUCCCGACUCAAAGUGGUGUACGGCUCUAACCAAGGAUUCCACGCUGUCGAUGUUGACUCUGGACAAGUUUAUGAUAUAUAUAUCCCUAAACAUAUCCAAGGCAGUAUCACACCACACACGAUAGUGACAUUACCAAAUAGUAAUGGUCUACAACUACUUAUCUGCUAUGACAAUGAAGGAGUUUACGUGAACACAUAUGGAAAGG